AUGCAGGAUCAGUUACGGACCGGCUGUGUCGGUGCUGGUUUGUCGUUCCCCCUGCGCAAAUAAACCGGUUUCCUUCUAUCCUUGUGUGUUUGCAUCCCACAGCUCACAGGGACGCUUGGUCUCAGACAU
ensembl:snoRNA SNORA63 Small nucleolar RNA SNORA63